CGCGGGGUGGAGCAGUUUGGUAGCUCGUCGGGCUCAUAACCCGAAGGUCGUUGGUUCAAAUCCANCCCCCGCCACCA
rnacentral:tRNA from 1 species